GAUGAACGCUGGCGGCGUGCCUAAUACAUGCAAGUCGAGCGAACGGACGAGAAGCUUGCUUCUCUGAUGUUAGCGGCGGACGGGUGAGUAACACGUGGAUAACCUACCUAUAAGACUGGGAUAACUUCGGGAAACCGGAGCUAAUACCGGAUAAUAUUUUGAACCGCAUGGUUCAAGAGUGAAAGACGGUCUUGCUGUCACUUAUAGAUGGAUCCGCGCUGCAUUAGCUAGUUGGUAAGGUAACGGCUUACCAAGGCAACGAUGCAUAGCCGACCUGAGAGGGUGAUCGGCCACACUGGAACUGAGACACGGUCCAGACUCCUACGGGAGGUAGCAGUAGGGAAUCUUCCGCAAUGGGCGAAAGCCUGACGGAGCAACGCCGCGUGAGUGAUGAAGGUCUUCGGAUCGUAAAACUCUGUUAUUAGGGAAGAACAUAUGUGUAAGUAACUGUGCACAUCUUGACGGUACCUAAUCAGAAAGCCACGGCUAACUACGUG
rnacentral:rRNA from 1 species